GGGUUGUGAGGUUAAGCGACUAAGCGUACACGGUGGAUGCCCUGGCAGUCAGAGGCGAUGAAGGACGUGCUAAUCUGCGAUAAGCGUCGGUAAGGUGAUAUGAACCGUUAUAACCGGCGAUUUCCGAAUGGGGAAACCCAGUGUGAUUCGUCACACUAUCAUUAACUGAAUCCAUAGGUUAAUGAGGCGAACCGGGGGAACUGAAACAUCUAAGUACCCCGAGGAAAAGAAAUCAACCGAGAUUCCCCCAGUAGCGGCGAGCGAACGGGGAGCAGCCCAGAGCCUGAAUCAGUGUGUGUGUUAGUGGAAGCGUCUGGAAAGGCGCGCGAUACAGGGUGACAGCCCCGUACACAAAAAUGCACAUGCUGUGAGCUCGAUGAGUAGGGCGGGACACGUGGUAUCCUGUCUGAAUAUGGGGGGACCAUCCUCCAAGGCUAAAUACUCCUGACUGACCGAUAGUGAACCAGUACCGUGAGGGAAAGGCGAAAAGAACCCCGGCGAGGGGAGUGAAAAAGAACCUGAAACCGUGUACGUACAAGCAGUGGGAGCACGCUUAGGCGUGUGACUGCGUACCUUUUGUAUAAUGGGUCAGCGACUUAUAUUCUGUAGCAAGGUUAACCGAAUAGGGGAGCCGAAGGGAAACCGAGUCUUAACUGGGCGUUAAGUUGCAGGGUAUAGACCCGAAACCCGGUGAUCUAGCCAUGGGCAGGUUGAAGGUUGGGUAACACUAACUGGAGGACCGAACCGACUAAUGUUGAAAAAUUAGCGGAUGACUUGUGGCUGGGGGUGAAAGGCCAAUCAAACCGGGAGAUAGCUGGUUCUCCCCGAAAGCUAUUUAGGUAGCGCCUCGUGAAUUCAUCUCCGGGGGUAGAGCACUGUUUCGGCAAGGGGGUCAUCCCGACUUACCAACCCGAUGCAAACUGCGAAUACCGGAGAAUGUUAUCACGGGAGACACACGGCGGGUGCUAACGUCCGUCGUGAAGAGGGAAACAACCCAGACCGCCAGCUAAGGUCCCAAAGUCAUGGUUAAGUGGGAAACGAUGUGGGAAGGCCCAGACAGCCAGGAUGUUGGCUUAGAAGCAGCCAUCAUUUAAAGAAAGCGUAAUAGCUCACUGGUCGAGUCGGCCUGCGCGGAAGAUGUAACGGGGCUAAACCAUGCACCGAAGCUGCGGCAGCGACGCUUAUGCGUUGUUGGGUAGGGGAGCGUUCUGUAAGCCUGUGAAGGUGUGCUGUGAGGCAUGCUGGAGGUAUCAGAAGUGCGAAUGCUGACAUAAGUAACGAUAAAGCGGGUGAAAAGCCCGCUCGCCGGAAGACCAAGGGUUCCUGUCCAACGUUAAUCGGGGCAGGGUGAGUCGACCCCUAAGGCGAGGCCGAAAGGCGUAGUCGAUGGGAAACAGGUUAAUAUUCCUGUACUUGGUGUUACUGCGAAGGGGGGACGGAGAAGGCUAUGUUGGCCGGGCGACGGUUGUCCCGGUUUAAGCGUGUAGGCUGGUUUUCCAGGCAAAUCCGGAAAAUCAAGGCUGAGGCGUGAUGACGAGGCACUACGGUGCUGAAGCAACAAAUGCCCUGCUUCCAGGAAAAGCCUCUAAGCAUCAGGUAACAUCAAAUCGUACCCCAAACCGACACAGGUGGUCAGGUAGAGAAUACCAAGGCGCUUGAGAGAACUCGGGUGAAGGAACUAGGCAAAAUGGUGCCGUAACUUCGGGAGAAGGCACGCUGAUAUGUAGGUGAAGCGACUUGCUCGUGGAGCUGAAAUCAGUCGAAGAUACCAGCUGGCUGCAACUGUUUAUUAAAAACACAGCACUGUGCAAACACGAAAGUGGACGUAUACGGUGUGACGCCUGCCCGGUGCCGGAAGGUUAAUUGAUGGGGUCAGCGCAAGCGAAGCUCUUGAUCGAAGCCCCGGUAAACGGCGGCCGUAACUAUAACGGUCCUAAGGUAGCGAAAUUCCUUGUCGGGUAAGUUCCGACCUGCACGAAUGGCGUAAUGAUGGCCAGGCUGUCUCCACCCGAGACUCAGUGAAAUUGAACUCGCUGUGAAGAUGCAGUGUACCCGCGGCAAGACGGAAAGACCCCGUGAACCUUUACUAUAGCUUGACACUGAACAUUGAGCCUUGAUGUGUAGGAUAGGUGGGAGGCUUAGAAGUGUGGACGCCAGUCUGCAUGGAGCCGACCUUGAAAUACCACCCUUUAAUGUUUGAUGUUCUAACGUUGACCCGUAAUCCGGGUUGCGGACAGUGUCUGGUGGGUAGUUUGACUGGGGCGGUCUCCUCCUAAAGAGUAACGGAGGAGCACGAAGGUUGGCUAAUCCUGGUCGGACAUCAGGAGGUUAGUGCAAUGGCAUAAGCCAGCUUGACUGCGAGCGUGACGGCGCGAGCAGGUGCGAAAGCAGGUCAUAGUGAUCCGGUGGUUCUGAAUGGAAGGGCCAUCGCUCAACGGAUAAAAGGUACUCCGGGGAUAACAGGCUGAUACCGCCCAAGAGUUCAUAUCGACGGCGGUGUUUGGCACCUCGAUGUCGGCUCAUCACAUCCUGGGGCUGAAGUAGGUCCCAAGGGUAUGGCUGUUCGCCAUUUAAAGUGGUACGCGAGCUGGGUUUAGAACGUCGUGAGACAGUUCGGUCCCUAUCUGCCGUGGGCGCUGGAGAACUGAGGGGGGCUGCUCCUAGUACGAGAGGACCGGAGUGGACGCAUCACUGGUGUUCGGGUUGUCAUGCCAAUGGCACUGCCCGGUAGCUAAAUGCGGAAGAGAUAAGUGCUGAAAGCAUCUAAGCACGAAACUUGCCCCGAGAUGAGUUCUCCCUGACUCCUUGAGAGUCCUGAAGGAACGUUGAAGACGACGACGUUGAUAGGCCGGGUGUGUAAGCGCAGCGAUGCGUUGAGCUAACCGGUACUAAUGAACCGUGAGGCUUAACCUUACAACGCCGAAGGUGUUU
rnacentral:rRNA from 1 species